GAUGAACGGAUGUUUUGCAGGGCUGUGUUUCAUCUCAACGAUCAGCUGGUUGACCUAUAUGUGAGACGUUGCAAGCCGAAUGUGAUGAUCCUGCUUAGAAUCCCAGCAUUUGAGAGGCUGAGCCAGCAAACUGACGGCAAGGUUUUACACUCCUUUGAGGUGAGACAGACCAACAGAUACCUGUAAACCAAUGAGUUUCUUUCAGCACCCUGGGAAUUGCAAGCAGAUGAACAGCGGUCCCUGCCCUCAAGAAAGCAUGCAAUGAUUUUGUGGCAUGGCAGAGAGCAACGGGGAUUCUAAGUGUUCAACUCUUUAGAGAGAGUGCUUAUUCAUGAUGGGAUAUUACAUAUAGAUAAUUAAUAAAAUAAAAAGCUUAUCAUUUUUACUUUGGCCAACACU
rnacentral:lncRNA from 1 species